GUUGUAUGGUUAAGUGACUAAGCGUACACGGUGGAUGCCUUGGCAGUCAGAGGCGAUGAAAGACGUAGUAACUUGCGAUAAGCCCAGAUUAGGUAGUAACAACCAUUUGAGUCUGGGAUUUCUGAAUGGGGAAACCCACUUACAUAAGUAAGUAUCAUUAACUGAAUACAUAGGUUAAUGAGGCGAACCGGGGGAACUGAAACAUCUAAGUACCCCGAGGAAAAGAAAUCAACCGAGAUUCCGAAAGUAGCGGCGAGCGAAAUUGGACUAGCCCUUAAGCUUUACACGCGUUAGACGAACGGUCUGGAAAGUCCGACGAUACAGGGUGAUAGUCCCGUAGUUGACGACGUGUGUUCAGUGAAAUCGAGUAGGGCGGGACACGUGAUAUCCUGUCUGAAUAUGGGGGACCAUCCUCCAAGGCUAAAUACUACUGACUGACCGAUAGUGAACCAGUACCGUGAGGGAAAGGCGAAAAGAACCCCUGUGAGGGGAGUGAAAUAGAACCUGAAACCGUGUACGUACAAGCAGUAGGAGCAGGCUUUGUCCUGUGACUGCGUACCUUUUGUAUAAUGGGUCAGCGACUUAUAUUCAGUGGCAAGGUUAACCAUCUAGGGGAGCCGUAGGGAAACCGAGUCUUAACUGGGCGUUCAGUCUCUGGAUAUAGACCCGAAACCAGGUGAUCUAGCCAUGGGCAGGUUGAAGGUUGAGUAACAUCAACUGGAGGACCGAACCGACUAAUGUUGAAAAAUUAGCGGAUGACUUGUGGCUAGGGGUGAAAGGCCAAUCAAACCUGGAGAUAGCUGGUUCUCCCCGAAAGCUAUUUAGGUAGCGCCUCGGACGAAUACUACUGGGGGUAGAGCACUGUUAAGGCUAGGGGGUCAUCCCGACUUACCAACCCUUUGCAAACUCCGAAUACCAGUAAGUACUAUCCGGGAGACACACGGCGGGUGCUAACGUCCGUCGUGGAGAGGGAAACAACCCAGACCGCCAGCUAAGGUCCCAAAUUACUACUAAGUGGGAAACGAUGUGGGAAGGCUCAGACAGCCAGGAUGUUGGCUUAGAAGCAGCCAUCAUUUAAAGAAAGCGUAAUAGCUCACUGGUCGAGUCGGCCUGCGCGGAAGAUGUAACGGGGCUAAGUAGUAAACCGAAGCUGCGGCAAUAUACUUUUGUAUAUUGGGUAGGGGAGCGUUCUGUAAGCGGUUGAAGGUGUGUGGUAACGCAUGCUGGACGUAUCAGAAGUGCGAAUGCUGACAUGAGUAACGAUAAAGGGGGUGAAAAACCUCCUCGCCGGAAGACCAAGGGUUCCUGUCCAACGUUAAUCGGGGCAGGGUAAGUCGACCCCUAAGGCGAGGCCGAAAGGCGUAGUCGAUGGGAAACGGGUUAAUAUUCCCGUACUUCUUACAAUUGCGAUGGGGGGACGGAGAAGGCUAGGUGGGCCUGGCGACGGUUGUCCAGGUUCAAGUGCGUAGGCUUAAGAGUUAGGUAAAUCCGGCUCUUUUUAAGGCUGAGACACGACGUCGAGCACCUACGGGUGUGAAGUCAUUGAUGCCAUGCUUCCAGGAAAAGCCUCUAAGCUUCAGAUUGUAAGGAAUCGUACCCCAAACCGACACAGGUGGUCGGGUAGAGAAUACCAAGGCGCUUGAGAGAACUCGGGUGAAGGAACUAGGCAAAAUGGUACCGUAACUUCGGGAGAAGGUACGCUCUUGAUGGUGAAGUCCCUUGCGGAUGGAGCUGACGAGAGUCGCAGAUACCAGGUGGCUGCAACUGUUUAUUAAAAACACAGCACUGUGCAAAAUCGUAAGAUGACGUAUACGGUGUGACGCCUGCCCGGUGCCGGAAGGUUAAUUGAUGGGGUUAGACUUCGGUCGAAGCUCUUGAUCGAAGCCCCGGUAAACGGCGGCCGUAACUAUAACGGUCCUAAGGUAGCGAAAUUCCUUGUCGGGUAAGUUCCGACCUGCACGAAUGGCGUAAUGAUGGCCACGCUGUCUCCACCCGAGACUCAGUGAAAUUGAAAUCGCUGUGAAGAUGCAGUGUACCCGCGGCUAGACGGAAAGACCCCGUGAACCUUUACUACAGCUUGGCACUGAACAUUGACCCUACAUGUGUAGGAUAGGUGGGAGGCUUUGAAGCACGUACGCCAGUAUGUGUGGAGCCGUCCUUGAAAUACCACCCUUGUAGUGUUGAUGUUCUAACGUCGACCCCUAAUCGGGGUUGCGGACAGUGCCUGGUGGGUAGUUUGACUGGGGCGGUCUCCUCCCAAAGAGUAACGGAGGAGCACGAAGGUGGGCUAAUCACGGUUGGACAUCGUGAGGUUAGUGCAAUGGCAUAAGCCCGCUUGACUGCGAGAAUGACAAUUCGAGCAGGUGCGAAAGCAGGUCAUAGUGAUCCGGUGGUUCUGAAUGGAAGGGCCAUCGCUCAACGGAUAAAAGGUACUCCGGGGAUAACAGGCUGAUACCGCCCAAGAGUUCAUAUCGACGGCGGUGUUUGGCACCUCGAUGUCGGCUCAUCACAUCCUGGGGCUGAAGUCGGUCCCAAGGGUAUGGCUGUUCGCCAUUUAAAGUGGUACGCGAGCUGGGUUUAGAACGUCGUGAGACAGUUCGGUCCCUAUCUGCCGUGGGCGUUGGAAGAUUGAAGGGGGCUGCUCCUAGUACGAGAGGACCGGAGUGGACGAACCUCUGGUGUUCGGGUUGUGUCGCCAGACGCAUUGCCCGGUAGCUAAGUUCGGAAUCGAUAACCGCUGAAAGCAUCUAAGCGGGAAGCGAGCCCUGAGAUGAGUCUUCCCUGAUACUUUAAGUAUCCUAAAGGGUUGUCGGAGACUACGACGUUGAUAGGUCAGGUGUGUAAGUGCUGUGAGGCAUUGAGCUAACUGAUACUAAUUGCCCGUGAGGCUUAACCAUACAACACCCAAGGGGUUU
rnacentral:rRNA from 1 species